rnacentral:rRNA from 1 species
GAUGAACGCUAGCUACAGGCUUAACACAUGCAAGUCGAGGGGUUUGCUUCGGGCAAACGACCGGCGCACGGGUGAGUAACGCGUAUCCAACCUGCCUCUCUCAUUGGGAUAGCCCUCCGAAAGGAGGAUUAAUACCGAAUAACAUAAUGUGUUUGCAUGAAUUCAUUAUGAAAGCUCCGGCGGAGAGAGAUGGGGAUGCGUUUCAUUAGGUAGUAGGCGGGGUAACGGCCCACCUAGCCGACGAUGAAUAGGGGUUCUGAGAGGAAGGUCCCCCACACUGGAACUGAGACACGGUCCAGACUCCUACGGGAGGCAGCAGUGAGGAAUAUUGGUCAAUGGGCGCAAGCCUGAACCAGCCAAGUAGCGUGAAGGAUGACUGCCCUAUGGGUUGUAAACUUCUUUUAUAUGGGAACAAAUGUUGGUACGUGUACUAAUUUGCGUGUACCAUAUGAAUAAGCAUCGGCUAACUCCGUG